rnacentral:tRNA from 1 species
GGGGAUUUAGCUCAGUGGUAGAGCACUUGCCUAGCAAGUGCAAGGCCCUGGUUUCAGUCCCCA